GCCCUUGUAGCUCAACCUGGUGGAGCAACGGUUUUGUAAACCGUAGGUUGAGGGUUCAAAUCCCUCCAAGGGCU
rnacentral:tRNA from 1 species